CGGGGACGAACAAUUCCGAAAGGGAAUGCUAAUACCGGAUGUGACGCUCCUAUCGCAUGACGGGAGCGUGAAAGAUGGCCUCUACAUGUAAGCUAUCGCUAAAGGAUGGGCCUGCGUCUGAUUAGCUAGUUGGUAGUGUAACGGACAACCAAGGCGAUGAUCAGUAGCCGGUCUGAGAGGAUGAACGGCCACAUUGGGACUGAGACACGGCCCAG
rnacentral:rRNA from 1 species